UGUUAUUCUGUUAGGUCUGUGGAUUGUUAUCCUGUUAGGUCUGUUAUUCCCGUUAGAUGUGGUUAUGUUAUUCCUGUUAGGUUUGUGAAUUAUGUUAUUCCUGUUGGUCUGUUAUUCCGUUAGGUCUGUGGUUAUGUUAUCCCUGUUGGUCUGUGAAUAUGUUAUUCCUGUUAGGUCUGUGGUUAUGUUAACCCUGUUGUUGUUAACCCUGUUAGGUCUGUGGAUUAUGUUAUUCCUGUUCUUUUUUGGUCUGUGGUAUGUUUUCUGUAGGUCUGUGGUUAUGUUUCCUGUUGGUCUGUGGUAUUAUUGUUACCUGUUGGUCUGUUAACCCUGUUAGGUCUGGGUCUUAUGUUAUCCUGUUAUGGUCUGUGGAUUUUUAUUCCGUUAUGGUCUGCGUAUUAUGUUAUUCCUGUUAGGUCUGUGGAUUAUGUUAUUCCUGUUAGGUCUGUUAUUCCUGUUAGGUCUGUGGAUUAUGUUAUUCCUGUUAGGUCUGUUAACCCUGUUAGGUCUGUGGAUUAUGUUAUUCCUGUUAGGUCUGUUAUUCCUGUUAGGUCUGUAAACUCAAGUCAGUCAUUUGUUAACUCCUGCCUUUCCUUCCCUCUAGAGCCCCCAGUGAGCCCAGACCCCCGGGAGACGAUGCCCCCCCCGGGACCCACCAGGCUCCAGACAGACCUCAGUCCCCCACCAGACCAGCCAAGGACGGCCCUCCUCCUCCAGAGGCCUGCUCAGGAAAGACCCCUGUCUGCCCCCAGGCCGGGACCAGGCCGACCCUCCAAGCCCCCUGCCCCCCCACGCAGCCAGAAACCCUUGAGACCCCGCCCAGCCUCUCCCAAGCCCCCCUCCCUCUACCACCCAGCCCCUUACGGGAAGAUUCUAAGGGUGGACCUGUACAGCCAACCCAACCUCACCUCUUGUAACGUCAGCACCCAACCUAACCCUAAAACCAACCCUAAGUCUAAACUCUCCCCUCCACUACUUAAACCCAACUCUACUUCCCCUAUCAUCAGACCCAAGCCUCUUCUACCUAACCCUAAAACUAACCUUACCUCCGUACCAAAAUCCAAACCUAGACCUAACUCUACAGCAGAACUCCCUGGGCCUGCAGCUAACUUUAAUCCUGAUCACAACAAACCCAGAACCGCUCCCAAAGCAAUCUCCAGACCCAAACAGAACCAUAACAAACCCAGGCCCACCCUGGAUCCUUCUACCAGGCCCAGAGCCAGCSCUGGGUCCAGCUCCAGUACCUCCAAACCUAGAACCAGCCCUGGGCCCAGCUCCAGCACCUCUAAACCCAGAACCAGCCCUGGGCCCAGCUCCAGUACCUCUAAACCCAGAACCAGCCCUGGGUCCAGCUCUAGUACCUCUAAACCCAGCCCCGGGCCCAGCUCCAGUACCUCUAAACCCAGAACCAGCCCUGGGCCCAGCUCCAGUACCUCUAAACCCAGACCCAGCUCAGACCUCUCUGCUGUCAGAUCCAGACCGGACCCUAGCACCUUUAUUCCUGGUAUCUCCAGACCCAGGCAUGUCCCGGGGGAGGGCGGGGUGGGAGGGCAGGGCGGGGUGCGACAUGGGCGUAAGGCCCUCCUAGAGGAACCCCUAGUAAAGCUGGACCACGAGGGCGUGACCUCACCCAAGACCAAGAAGACCAAGGCUCUGAUGCUGCUGGAGGCCAGAGGCUUACGGCAAGAACCCACACCCCUCUCCACGGCRGCAGCCAGCCAGAAGCCGGCGAGGGUAAAGGGGAGGGCUCCGGAGAGCGAGGCAGGGCUGCUGGAGGCCAAGGGCUUACGGCAAGAACACACACCUCUCUCCACGGCCGCAGCCAGCCAGAAGCCGAAGAGGGUAAAGGGGAGGGCUCCGGAGAGCGAGGCAGGGCUGAUGGAGGCCAGAGGCUUACGGCAAGAACCCACACCCCUCUCCAUGGCCGCAGCCAGCCAGAAGCCUGCGAGGGUCAAGGGGAGGGCUCCGGAGAGCGAGGCGGGGCUGCUGGGGAGAGAACCCGCCUACAGAACGCCUUCUCUGGGCAGAGAAAGAGACCGGGGUGGAGGGGGGGACAGAGAACCAAAGAGAGAGGAGAGAACGAAACAAGGGGAAGAGAAGAGAGGGGAGGAGACAGGGGGGUCUCACGGCAGCAGUAGUUCAGGAUCUGAGGAAGAGGAGAGACGAGAAGAAAACAAAGUGUAGCUCCGCUGCUCCACCCCUCCUCCCAGCCUCCUCCUCCUCAUCCUCCUCUAGCACCUCCUCUUCCUCUUCCUCUCCUCCACUGACGAGGAGUCCUCUUGUAGUUCUCUACGAGAGACCCCCCCCUCCCCCUCCCUCUCCCCUUCCUCCCCCCCUCCAACUACCCCACAGGAGAGUAGAGGUGGAGGAAGAGAAAGGAAGAGGAAGAAUUAAAAAGUUAAAAAGAAGAGGAAGAUAGAAGUAUUAGAGAGAGAUCAAUCUCCCUCCUCUCCUCCCCCGUCUAUCUCUCCGUCCUCCCAGCCAGCCAGGCCCCGUCGUCCAGCCCGCAAAGUCCCAGGGAGGGUGGGUCGGUGGGCAGGCCACGGCGCAGGGAGGGGCCCACCUCCCCACCCAAGACGGGUAAGAGACAGCAUUACCGAGUGUAGAGAACAGACCUAAGAUCCUCCUGCUCCUGCCUGCCAGACAGCUCUGGAAGUGGUUCGGUAAUCCCACACACAGGUGAGAGGAGACGCGUGGAAUAUUUUGAAGCUCUCGAUGACACUUGAGUCUGUUUUUUUUUUUUUGAGGGGGGGGGGGGGGGGGGGGGGGGGGGGCGGGGUUCCAGAAGAUUAGCCAGAAAUUCUCCUGCCAUACCCUCUGUCUGUCUGUCUGUCUGUCUCUCUGUCUGUCUGUGUUUUCUUGGCCUGUCUGUCUUCGGACUCUUCUCUGUCCUGCCUUUGGACUUUCUGUCUGUCUGUCUGUCCUGCCUGCCUGUCUGACUGUCUUCUGCCUGUCCUGUGGUCAAGAGGCUGUAUGAAAGGGAAGGCUAAGAACUGUUCUACAAGCCAGCGUGCGGGGAGAGAGAUGAUUGGCAUCGGGACGCGGCCGUGUUCUUUCAGCCGGCCGACCCAACCUGCCCUCAUAGGGAAAUUCAGAGCAUGUGGGAGAGCUGGGGACCAACAUGGGGGUCAGGUCAACUGGUUUUAUCACCCGAGGAUACACCAACCCUGGCAGAAACACACAACAAGAAGGUAUAGGGGUCAGAGGUCAACUGGUUUUAAAUCACCCGGAGGAGACCAACCCUGGCAGAAGAAACUACACGACAAGAAGGUAGGGGUAGGGGUCAGAGUUAACUGGUUUUUUAUCUCCUCUCCCUCCCAUACUCGCCCUUCUCUCCCCUCCCCAUCCUCCUCUGCUCGUCCCCUCUCUCUCCUCCCUCCCCAUCAUCUCUCCGGAUCUCUCUCUCCCUCCUCCCCAUCUCUCUCUCUCUCUCCUCUCUCAUCCCUCCCAUCUCUCUCUCUCGCCUCUAUCUCUCCUCCCCCCCCCCAUCUCUCCUCUCUCUCUCCCCCCAUCUCUCUCUCUCCCAUCUCUCCUCCUUCCAUCUCUCUCCUCCCUCUCUUCCAUCUCUCUCUCCCCUCUCCUCUCCUCCCUCCUCCCUCCCCUCCAUCUCUCUCUCCCCACCCUCAUCUCUCUCCCUCCCCAUCGCUCUCUCUCCCCAUCUCUCUCUCCUCUCUCUCCCUCCCAUCUCUCUCUCCUCCCUCUCUCUCUCCCCUUCCCUCUCCUCUCUCCCUCCCCAUCUCUCUCUCCCGCCUCCCUCCCCAUCUCUCUCUCUCCCUCCCCAUCUCUCUCCUCCUCUCUCUCCCUCCCCUCAAUCUCUCUGCCCUCCCCCAUCAUCUCUCUCCUCAUCCUCCCCCCCACUCCCCAUCUCUCUCCUCCCUCCCACAGCUCUCUCUCUCCCUCCCUCCCCACCUCUCUCUCCUCCUCCCCAUCUCUGCUCUCCCUCCUCUCUCUCCCUCCCCAUCUCUCUCUCUCUCCUCCACAUCCUCUCUCUCUCUCCUCGUCUCUCUCCCCCCCCCAUCUCUCUCUCUCCCGCGUUCCCCAUCUCUCUCAUCCUCUUCUCCCCUAGUCCUCUCAUCCCUCCCCAUCCUCUCUCCCUCUCGUCCUCUCCCGUCCCUCUCUCCUCCCUCCCAUCUCCUCUCCUCCCCCCUCCUCUCCUCUCCCUCCUUCCCUCUCCGCACCUCCUCUCUCCCUCUCCCAUCUCUCCCUCCCCAUCUCUCUCGCCUCCCCAUCGCUCUCUCUCUCCUCUCCUCUCCCCAUCUCUCUCUCUCUCUCUCUCUCUCCCUCCUCUCCUCCCUCCUCCUUCCCUCCCCAUCGUCUCUCUCCCAGGAUCUCUCCUCUCCCUCCCCAUCUCUCUCCCUUCCCCAUCUCUCUCUCUCCUACUCUCCUCCCCAUCUCUCUCGCUCUUCCUCCCUCCCCAUCUCUCUCUCUCUCCCCUCCUCUUCUCUCCUCUCCUCUCUCCUCCCCAUCUCCUCGCUCCCUCCCCAUCUCUCUCUCAUCUCCGCUUUCUCCUACUCCCGCUCCCCAUCUCUCUCUCUCUCCCGCCCUCCCUCUCUCCUUCUCUCCCUCCCCCAUCUCUCUCUCUCCUCCCCAUCGUCUCCCUAUCUCUCCUCCCUCCCCAUCUCUCUCUCUCCCCAUCUCUCUCCUCCCCUCUCUCCUCCCUCCCCCUAUCCUCUCCUCUCUCUCUCACUAUCUCUCUUCUCUCUGCCUCCCGUCCGC
ensembl:lncRNA